rnacentral:lncRNA from 1 species
UUUAAUAUAAAUCUUUCAAUAUUUUCUUAAAUAAAAACAUAUAUACGAACGUAAAACUAAAUUUUAUGAUAUAAAAAAUGAGAGUGAAAUGUAUUGAAAAAGUUUGAAGUGUGGAAAGGGUGUAUGAUUGGAAUGGACAUAGAGGGAGGAUAGCAUAAAUUUUGGUGGUUUGUUUGAGAUGAUAUAAUGAAAAGUGAGAGUAAUAAUAUGAACAGUCAAUGAUUGAAGGAGAGGUGAUAUGAUACAGCACUGAAGUGGACAUGAAAAUGUCACUUCACAUAAAGAAUGGAGGAGAUGCCAUAAAGGUUUCAAAGUAGUGUGAAGGUGGAGGAAGAGAUAGCAUAGAUUAGAUUAUAGAUUAGAUAGAUGCUUUUUAUCGCUUUCCUUUUUCAUUCUAAAAGCCUAUACUAGGAUGCAUAAUUAAUCUCACACGUGAUGGAUUAAUCACAUUAACAAAAUUUUCCUCUUUCUCGUUAAUUAUUUUAUAAACAUGUUUCCUUCGUAUUGUAAUCA